rnacentral:tRNA from 1 species
GCGCCCGUAGCUCAAUUGGAUAGAGCGUCUGGCUACGGACCAGAAGGUUGUGGGUUCAAGUCCUUCCGGGCGUA